UACGAAGGGGGCUAGCGUUGUUCGGAAUUACUGGGCGUAAAGCGCACGUAGGCGGAUAUUUAAGUCAGGGGGUGAAAUCCCAGACGCUCAACUCUGGAACUGCCUUUGAUACUGGGUAUCUUGAGUAUGGAAGAGGUAAGUGGAAUUGCGAGUGUAGAGGUGAAAUUCGUAGAUAUUCGCAGGAACACCAGUGGCGAAGGCGGCUUACUGGUCCAUAACUGACGCUGAGGUGGCGAAAGCGUGGGGAGCAAACAGG
rnacentral:rRNA from 1 species